UAGGGAAUCUUCCGCAAUGGACGCAAGUCUGACGGAGCAACGCCGCGUGAGUGAAGAAGGAUUUCGGUUCGUAAAACUCUGUUGUUAGAGAAGAACAGCGCAUAGAGUAACUGUUAUGCGUGUGACGGUAUCUAACCAGAAAGCCACGGCUAACUACGUGCCAGCAGCCGCGGUAAUACGUAGGUGGCAAGCGUUGUCCGGAUUUAUUGGGCGUAAAGCGAGCGCAGGCGGUCCAUUAAGUCUGAUGUGAAAGCCCCCGGCUCAACCGGGGAGGGUCAUUGGAAACUGGUUGACUUGAGUGCAGAAGAGGAGAGUGGAAUUCCAUGUGUAGCGGUGAAAUGCGUAGAUAUAUGGAGGAACACCAGUGGCGAAGGCGACUCUCUGGUCUGUAACUGACGCUGAGGCUCGAAAGCGUGGGUAGCAAACAGG
rnacentral:rRNA from 1 species